CCUACGGGCGGCAGCAGUGGGGAAUAUUGCGCAAUGGGCGAAAGCCUGACGCAGCGAAGCCGCGUGAGGGAUGAAGGUCUUCGGAUCGUAAACCUCUGUCAGCAGGGAAGAACGGUCACUGUGCUAAUCAGCAGUGAAUUGACGGUACCUGCAAAGGAAGCACAGGCUAACUCCGUGCCAGCAGCCGCGGUAAUACGGAGGGUGCGAGCGUUAAUCGGAAUUACUGGGCGUAAAGCGCUCGUAGGCGGUAUGUCAAGUCAAGGGGGAAAUCCCCGCGCGCAACGUGGGAACUGCCUUUGAAACUGGCAAACUGGAGUGUGUGAGAAGAUAGUGGAAUUCCAGGUGUAGGAGUGAAAUCCGUAGAUAUCUGGAGGAACAUCAGUUGCGAAGGCGACUAUCUGGCACAUAACUGACGCUGAGGAGCGAAAGCGUGGGUAGCAAACAGGAUUAGAUACCCCUGUAGUC
rnacentral:rRNA from 1 species